CCCUCCCCAGUUAGCCUAAGCUGCUUGUCUUUGGACUGCGGGAGGCGACCAGAGUACCCAUGCAGGCACAGGGAGAACAUACGGACCGCGCACAGGGAGGGCCCGGUCAGGUUUUGAAGCCAGGACCUUUUUUCUGUGAGACGACAGUGCUAUCCACGGCAUGUCCACUGCAUCGCUAUGCUGCCCCACACUUGGGGCCAGCCCGGGUUCCUUGAAAGGGAGGAGAAGAAUAAAGCACAACCCAUUUCCCAAGCUGCUUUGCUGUUUCCCCCUUUCCUCCUCCUCAGUCCCUGGUUCCUUUUCCCCACUGGUGCCUGAAAGACUGACAUUGAGUGGGAACUCACAGAUCCUGGAAGACUGACGGUGAGCGGGAACUCACAGAUCCUGAAAGACUGAAGGUGAGCGGGAACUCACAGAUACUCAUUACCUGCUACCAAGGGAUCAGCUACUCCUCCUGGGGUCCAACAACUUAAAACAACUCAAAGCAUGCCAGACAGUAGUAUCAAGCCCAAAGCAAUCAGAGAAACAUACAGUAAAUCUUUAUGUAAGUAUAUGUAACAUAAGUGGUAUAUGUAAGUCAAGUAAACUGACAAAAGUUAAGGUUAUUCUUUGUGUGCCUUCUCAGUAAUUUUUCAAUCUUGCAUUACUGGGUGCUUGACUAAUUACAGUUGAUAAACUGUUCAAUAAUAGAGUGGAGAUGGGGGACCAGGGAAAAGGUGAGAUGCACUGGAGGGAAAACAUUGAGGGAUAGUUUGUCCGUAAUUCAGCUCAAUUCAUUUUUAUCGUAUGACACUUUUUACAGGGAGGAUGUCACAAUGUCUCUGUAAAAAGACACUGAAAAACAGGCAAUGAGCUAAAUUAGGCAAGACAGAAUUGAACCCCCAAAAAUCCACCAAGCACCAAGUAAAUCCCAGUGAGAAGAAAUCUUGGGAGGAGCCCAAAUAUAGAGGGAGGGGGAGCCCAACCUCUGCUCACCAGCCUGAGGUCAGUAUUUAAAGAUAAUAGUAAUAGACAGCUAAUGGGGAAACUAACUUAGCAAAUAAACUAAAUGGUUGGGCAGGUUAUUGCCUGAGAUAUUAAAUGAACGUUAGUUUUUAAAAUAGAACAUCAUACCAAAGAAAUGUAUAUUAAUAUGCAUAUCAGGGUGGGUGAGGUCAUGCAUCUAGGCCUCCAGGUUGCAUCAUGGCAUGGGCUCGAACCAGGAGAGGGUUGGGGCUGGAUCACUCUGUGAACUAGAAAGGGGCAGGGUAGAGAACAAAAAUACAAGUUGAUUAAGAACUAGAUCAGGAGUGCACAACUUUGGUCCUGGAGGGCCAGUGUUUGUGCUGGUUUUUGUUCCAACCAGUUACCUCAGAUUUAGUUUUCAGACAACUCUAUAUACUACGCUAGUUCACUCCUGUACUUCAGCACAGUAAAAUCUUAAGGAUACAUUUCCAUUCUGUAGCUACAGCUGGUGCUUAUACAAAUGUCGAAUCAAGAUAUGAUUGAGCUAAUUAAAUAAUUAAGAGCGGAAGUUGGCAUGAUAUCAUGAAACGAAUCGGCCCUUGUUGUGCACCCAUGAACUAGAUAAUUACAAUGUUAAGUAUCGCACAUGUAGAGGUCUGAGUUUAACGUGGAAAAGCCCCAGGGUGCUAUGCUAGUGCAGCUCAUCUAAAUGAAAGGGGGCGCACAAACCCAUGUGACUGAUGCUGAACUGACAGUACUCUAAAAACAGCACAGGACAGCAAACCGGAGCUUUUACGUUAGUAGGGAGGCAGGAAUGGUGGUAGUGGAAGUGGGGCAAGUGAGGUGGAGGUAUGGGGUGGGGGUGGUCUCGCUCACUGUGAUUUCCUGUGCCUGUCAGAAUGCGUCUGCUCUCCCCUGCACUCCAGUGGCCCGGAAUGUUCUCCCUUCAUUAUCGGCCUGCCCCGGCCCAGCAGGGGGCCCCCUCCGAGCGCGGCUCCCUCUCCGAGUACCACGAAAAAAUAAAGAGGAAGGCCUCCUGUCCCAAUUAAGGUUAAUUGACCCAGUUUGCGCCUCGGCACACUUUAGAAUUUCGGGUGUUUCCCUGUGGGUUGGGCAGAGUGAGCUCGCUGGUGGUGCCCGGUAUGUGUGGGGCAGGAACAGAGGGCCUGGCACAAGUCAAAUUCAGGCACCUCAGUUAGGGCAGAACUGGAAGUUUGGAUUCUUCCCUCCUCCCUCCUCCUUUGUGCUGUUUGUUCCACUUUGUUCACCUCCAAACCUUCUGAAAGGUGUACAUCUUUAUAUAGCCAGUAGGUGGUCGAAAUCUUACCUCCCAAAAAACCACCAUGAUCUUUUCUGCUCCUUCAGCCACACUCCAUUCAUAACACAGUUCAAACUUCUCUUCUGUUUUAAAACUUUAUUUGUUUAUCUGGAUGUUUAAUAUAUAUAUAUAUAUAUUAUUUUUUUUGCAAAGUGAAACCAUCCUUGAAACUAUAUUGCCACAAACCACUAAACGGUCACAUAUUGCUACAAGAAUUUUAAAUCUGUUUUCUUCUAUUGUUUCCUGUAAAGAGAGGAAGAGUUAAUUGUGUGGUGCCUGUGCACUGUACGUAAGUGCAAUCAGUCUAUUUUUUUAUACAGGAUUGUUGAAACUUGAACUUUAUACAGGAAAAAGAAAGACAGCUGAUCUUUGGAUUUGGUUUUUUUUUUAAAGUGGCUGCUGUUUACUGUUCUUUUAUGGGCAGGGUCAAAGUACGAACUGGCAGGAAAAACUCACUCUUCUCUGCUGGCUCCGUGCCUGAUACUCUCAGAUGGACUUUCGUUUUCACUGGUUAUGAUACCAGGGACAAAACAGGGCUGUAAAAACAUGUUCAUUACCGCAAAUGAGAAGCAAGGAUAUAUAUGGAAAGGGAGGAGCUGGGUGUUAAUUUAUUCAGUUACGCAUCAACAGAGACAUCAUUUAAAUGAAAUCCAUUUGCAGUUUCCAUAUGUGUACAUCUGAGACUCAUCCAGUUGGGUUUGUAUUUACCUGUGGAGAAAAACAAACAGAUGUUUGUCAAGCUCUGCACAGAUUUAUUGGUUUUCAACUACUAAGUGUAACGUCACAAGCAUGUUCAACGUGGUAUCAGUAUGCUUUCUGGGAUUGUUGUGGGGCUGAUUUUAAAAGGUGUGGCUUAUUGGAAACACCAGUUCAGACAAAGAGAGAAGACAAAAGCAGUUGUCUAAGCAAGGGUUCAGGGGAUCUGUACAAUCACAAGUUAUGUAAUUAUGAAACAAUUCAGUAUAAGAAAUUCUCAAACAUAUUUGGUGUCAGAAAAAUCAGUUAUACAUGAUAUAUUAUUACAAUUAGAAUUAAUGUAUUUGUUGAGCAUUUAAAUGUGCCCAUUGUACCAAUAAAAAUGUCAGUGCACUCCAUGUGUUUCAAUAAAUCUUGUGUUAAAUUGUCAAAUCAUCCUGUUUGACAGAUCAAAAUGUUUGAUUCUGUCCAAAAAAGCAUGAUGUUGAAUGAUUCAAUUUGCAAAUAAUUAUUAAUAAAAAUUCAGUUUGAAUGAAUCUGC